GCUAGAGUCUUGAUACCCAUUAAACUGACAAAUUACUGAAUUGCUGCUCUAAACAAGGCUGGUAAACUGUUGCCCUUAGACCAGUGGGGUUAUGACUUUACUUUUUAUCUUCCAAAAGAAAUUGUAUAAAAUUUAAUAAUUUCCCUGGAAUGAUAUUUCAUAUUUAGUGGGUAAUGUCAUCAAUUCAAGCAGGUUAGUACCUUGCUAUUCUGCGGUAUAUCACUUAAAUCUGAUCCCCUUCGCGUGCUUCUAAAUUUGUGUGAUUGCAUGUUGGACUUUAGCCUUCCUUUUUUUAAUAGAAAGAAGUGUGUUUUGCAGAUGUGUAUUCCUUCUUAGUCCUUUUCCCUUUGCUUAUUUUACACUUUUGAAUAAUUUUGAUUCUUUCAAAAGGAAAGAUCUUGCGGCUUGUAUUAUUAUAUAAAUGGUCAGAAUUGAACUCUCCUCCUUUCUUGUCCUGAAAAGAAACAUAUAUACAUUCAAUUGGUAUUAAAAAAAUUUUAAAAGAAAAGUUACUACUUCAUCUGUAUAUCCUUUGUGCCCACUUGUCUGCUGACAAUUAAAUUCCUACCAAGAAUUUGUGAUCCUUGGAAGUUUAUCUGCUGCCUGCCAACAUAUUAUUGAUUUGAGCAAUCUGUUUGUCUAUGUUUUAAGCACAUAGUUGUGAGAAAUUGUUAGUCCAAUUGUUUAUGUCAACCUCAGGUAAUGAUUCUAGAGUCAGCCAGUUGAUACUGCUGAUUCUGUGAUGUUAGUUCCCAGUUUCCUGGCUAAGAAUUCAUUUUGUUCU
rnacentral:misc_RNA from 1 species